UUUUUUUUUUUCCUCUUUCUCCGUUUUUUUUUCUUAUAUAUUACGGUAUAGAUUCUCUCCUUCUUCUUCUUCUUCUUCUUCUUCUUCUUCUUCUUCUUUUUGUGGGUUUUUGUUUGUUUCUUUUGAUUCCAAAGCUUCAACCUUUUUUGUAUUGAUCAUUGGGGUUUUUGUUUUGCAGGAAUCCAGAAUCGUGGGUCGAUCGGUUAUUACAUAAUCCGAUCACGACCCAUCUGCUCUUUUUCCAUCCUAUUUGCUUCCCCCUUUGAGGUUUUUGUUUCAGAUUCCACUCACUUAGAUCCAUGUGUAUAUCUAGUUUAGACUAGAAUCGGGAACAAACUAAUUAAAAAAACAUACCCCUUUUUUUUUGUUUCUUGGCAGAAAUGGAAAUGGAAUCAUGUAAGCUCUUCAUCGGUGGGAUAUCCUGGGAAACCAGCGAAGAUCGUCUUCGUGAGUAUUUUCAGAGUUUUGGUGAGGUUUUAGAGGCUGUGAUUAUGAAGGAUCGAGCCACUGGUCGUGCUCGUGGCUUUGGUUUCAUUGUCUUUGUUGAUCCUAAUAUUGCUGAGAGAGUCGUUUUGCUUAAACAUAUUAUUGAUGGCAAGAUUGUAAGUUUUUUCAUCUUCCACCAAACUACACACUACAUAGUACAUUGCUUCCAAUUUCAGUCUUGCUCAUUAUACUUGCUUCAUUUGGAGUUUGCUGCUUCUCCAAGCAAAAAAAAAGCUAUUCUCUUUUACUCAUUCCUGUUUUAGUCUUACUUGACUCUUUAGUUUACACUCAGCGUCAAAGAGAAAGAGCUUUGUCUCUACGAUAAAUGCAGAUCGAUCACUAAUGAAAAUAUUAAAACUUAGAUUGUUUCCGAGUGCUUACUCUUACUUGACUGUUCUCCCUGAUUUGCCAUGUUCAUAGUAAAACUGUUUUCUUUUAGUUACGCGGUGUGUUGAUUUUCUCCAUGAUCACAGGUUGAGGCUAAGAAGGCAGUUCCAAGAGAUGAUCACGCAGUAAUGAACAAAAGUAACAACAGCCUCCAGGGAUCACCUGGCCCAUCUAGCUCCAAGAAGAUCUUUGUGGGGGGUUUGGCAUCCUCGGUUACAGAGGCUGAGUUCAAAAAGUAUUUUGCUCAGUUUGGUAUGAUCACCGAUGUUGUCGUGAUGUAUGACCACAGAACGCAGCGGCCUAGAGGCUUUGGGUUCAUCUCUUAUGACUCUGAGGAAGCUGUCGACAAAGUGCUGCAGAAGACAUUCCACGAACUCAAUGGUAAGAUGGUGGAGGUCAAACUCGCUGUUCCUAAGGAAAUGGCUCUCAACACAAUGUGGAACCAAAUGAAUGUAAAUAGCUUUGGCAAUAGUAGAAUCAGCUCGUUACUGAAUGAUUACACCCAGGGAUUCAGCCCGAGUCCAAUCUCUGGUUAUGGAGUAAAACCUCACGUUAGGUACAGUCCAGCAGUAGGUAAUAGGGGAGGAUUCUCACCGUUUGGACAUGGGUAUGGAAUCGAGCUGAAUUUUGAGCCAAACCAGACUCAGAACUAUGGAUCUGGUUCAGGCUUUGGUCGACCCUUUAGCCCUGGAUAUGCUGCGAGUCUCAAUAGGUACGGUAGCCAGAUGGAGUCUGGAGGAGCUAGUGUCGGGAAUGGUUAUGUGCUUAAUGCAGCAACAAAAAACCAUUUAUGGGGAAAUGGUGGUCUAGGUUACAUGUCUAACUCUCCGAUAUCAAGAAGCAGCUUUAAUGGAAACCCUGGAAUGCCUUCAUUAGGCAGCAUCGGAGACAACUGGGGAGCAGCUGCACGUGCACGCAGUAGCUACCACGGUGAGAGAGGAGGCUUAGGAUUAGAGGCAAUGAGAGGAGUUCAUGUUGGUGGUUACAGCAGUGGCUCAAGCAGGUUGGAGGCAGACUCUCUGUACAGUGACUCAAUGUGGCUUUCGCUGCCCGCAAAGGCAGAGGAAGGAUUGGGAAUGGGAGCAUUGGACUUCAUGUCUAGAGGACCAGCUGGAUACAUCGACAGGCAACCAAACGGAGGUAUGAAUUAUGAAUUCCUUUUUGGAUUUGAGAACUUGAGCUUUUGAUAGAAAAUCUGAUGAAGUCCUAUGAAAAAAUGGUGGUGUUGCAGGAAUUGCAGCUUAGAGAGGUGAGAAUUCUAUACCAUUGGAGAUCAGGUGAUUGCAGAAGAGACUUUUUAGAAGAGGAAAAAAAUUAUUAAAAAAAAAAAAUUAUUAUUGGUUCCAAAAAGCUUAAAGCUUUUCUUUACUGUUUUACUAUUUUGAUUGUUGUUAUAGCUUUUGUUUUCACCCUUUUUUGGCUAAUUUGGGGGGUUUUGUUUCUUUUUUAUCUUUAAAAGAAAAGAUGUAAACUUGAGUGAGUGAGUGAGUGAUGAUAUAUAUAAAGGAGACAAAGAAACAAUGAAAUGUAUUUUGUUCUUGUCUUUCUCCCUUUAAUCUAAAAUCCAUAUAUUGACAAAUUCAAACAUGAAAAAACGAAUUAAAAAAAGAGCAAUUUGCCUAGAAUGUAGGCAACGUAGUGUGAGGCCGACGUGUGGCAAACAUGUGGAUGAUGAUAAGCCACAGGACAAAGAAAGCAAUCCAUCAUCCAUCACAGUAAUAUCCAUUUAUGUGAAGUGGACCAAAAGAGAGAGAAGCAGAGUGUUGCAGUCCUCAAAUAUAGAGACGAAACAUCCAAAUCCUUCAAACUCUCUUUCUCUCUCACAGCUUCAAGACUUCACUGGAAUCGCCACCAUUGUCCCUACGCUCCUCCCCUAUAAGGGUCUUGUCUCACGAGGCUCUCUCUCAAAAACCAAUAAAGAUGCGGUUGCUAGUUGAAGAAGUAACUUCACCAUUGUCCCCUGCUUCAACUCCAGCAUGUAACUCCCAUAGUUGCAGAUGGAAGCCUUACUCCAACUCUAGUGACUUCACAGCCAACGCAUCAGUUCUUCUCAUCCUUGUCUUCUCAGCUCUCAUCUGUGCUCUCUCCCUCUACACUGCAAUCCGUUGCUUUCUCCGGCCAGCCCUCGAGACUAACGACGACCACAAGCCUGAACCUGAGACAGUUGCUUCAUCCGCUGCACCAACUCCUACGCUUGUCUACUCCUCCGACCUUGAGCUUGCAGGAGCUGAAGCAGAGUGUGCCAUAUGCUUGUCGGAAUUCGAACAAGGAGAGAGCAUCCAAGUGCUAGAGAAAUGUCAGCAUGGUUUCCAUGUCAAGUGUAUCCACAAAUGGCUCUCUUCCCGCUCUUCCUGUCCCACUUGCCGAACUUCUAUCUUCUCACAACCCUUGGAAACUCCUCCAAACCAGAUCAAUGCUUAGAGCUUUUUUUUUUCUUUUUACAAAGCUUAGAGUUGUAUCAUGUUUCGCUUGAGAAUACCCUGUUUAUGUUCUGUAUUAUUAGGUAACACAGACCAACAAAAGUAUUUACUAGUACUUGUAUUAAAUCUAACUCUACAUCGCCACGCAAUGAAACAAGCUCCCACGAGUUUUUAAUUAUCCAUUGUACAAGAAGUGUCUGGACCAGAACCAGAUGAAUCAAUGGUUUUUAAGUGAAAGAAUCUAAGAAAAAAACUAGAGCAACUUUAAUGACAAUGCGUACAGGAUAAAUGAAUCAUGUAACCACCUACAAUAAAUAACUACAUAGUGUGUAGUACUUGCUUAAUUUCACCAUAUCAACGAAGCUUCGAAUUACAUACUAGGCCAACAUUCAAUUAAUGGGCCUAAGGAUAGUUCACUUCGGGCCUUUUCCAAACCUGUAUAGUCCUCUCUCGCCUAUAAAUAGCAAGUAGAGUGGGUCUAGACUCUAGAGAGACUAGAGAGAGAGAGAGAGUCUCACACACAGUCACACAACUUUCUUUGACUUGCAAAAAAGAAACAGCGUCGUUUUGAGAAACGAGCUGCAAAAUGGAAGCCAACGCAAGCAGCUCCGGCGAGAAGAGCUCUCCGACUCCAUGUAAAGUUUUCAUCUUUCACUGCUAUUUCUUUAAUAAAAAUCGAGUCUUUUUAUACAAAUCUCUCAUUAAUUGUACGUAUUACGUGAAAGUCACGUAGUAACAAGAUUAGGAAUUUGUGUAUAUGUAGUGAUGAGGAGCCCGUUUCUGAAAAGUGGGAGUGGGGCGGUGUACGAGGUGAGUGAGACGAAGAAGGCGUGCGUGAUGAGAGUCGACAUGCCUGGGUGUCCCGAGUCAGAUCUCACCUACUGGGUCGACCCCGUGGCCAACAACGUCCACUUCUUUGCCGACGAACCAGCCAUGCCGGAGUACGAAAACACCGGACGCAAAUACGGAGGAUCCAUGGUGUUCAACCCAAAGGCGUUCGACGUCAAGAAAGCUAAGGUGAAGCUUAUCAACGGAGUGCUCUGGGUCACCGUCCCUAAGAUCCCCGGCAAAAACGCCUCCAUUGAAGUCAUUGAGAAGAUGAUCCAUUACCCGAUUGAGAAACAUCAUCGCACCUGAUCUCUUCGUUUUCUAUCUAUUGCUAGCUAGCGUAUGGCUUUUGAUCAUGCACCUGGUUUUAUAUAUUUAUGUUUUAUCCAUCUUUUAUGGUUUAAGACUUUUUUAAGUAGGCUAUAUAUCGAUCUUGCUUCUUCUAUAUGCAUUUCAGUGUUGUCAGCUUUCUCUUUGUUUUGCUUUAAUCUUUCAUUAAUUUAGCUAUAAUCGAUCAGACUUUAUAUAUAUUUGCCAUAAUCAAACUGGAUAUAUAUAGCACAUAUAUAUACAUAUAUAACCUUGGAGAAAUUUGGAGCAAUAUCAAUGGAAGCAAGCGUCUAGAUAGAUAGAUAGAGACUGGAUAAACACUCUAAUAAACAAUGGUUGAAAACUUGUACAUGAUCACAAUUUUAACCCCUUGAGGAUUGCUUACGUCAGCGUCUUCUUCCAUAUCACUGUGAAGAGAUUGGCAUGGCAUGGAACAGCUUUACUUUUGCAGUAGUUUAAUUUUUGUCGUAUGUGGAAAACCAAAAUGAGGAAAAUCAUGGGACAGCUCAUAGAACUGGUGGCGUCAGCUAUUUCUCGACGGUAAAAACAUCAAAAGAGAAAACGACGGUAAAAAAAUAGAAUCAAAAAGAGAAAAAGCAAGUUUCUUUUGAAUUUUAUUUACCGAGAGAUAGUUACUAUGUAUUUUAUAUUUUACUAGUGGGUUGAAAAACUUAAAAGAUGAAGAGAGUGACGUAGGCAAGACCAGUCAAACUUCGCUAUUGAAGGCGAAAAAAAGCCAGCUGGAGUGACCGCAUAGUCAUCAUGGUGCUUCGUCUAUAUUUUGUAUUUUAGAGUGAAUAUAUAACACUAAAAACGCCAUUGUUACGCAGCCUAAAGCUAGAACUAGAAGAGAGAAAAAGAAAGAAAGAAAGAAAGAAAGAAGAGAGAGAUGGGUGAGCCGAAGGUACAAUUGCUGGACAUGUCAAGAGUUCCUAAAGUUCGAGGUGUCGUCUAUCUCUUUCUUCUGUCGUUAUCUCUCUAUAUCUCUUUGUUAAUCUUCCCUAGAACAAUAUUGUUUUUUUUUUCUAGAAAGUUGUCUCCUUUUUCCGGUUUAAGUGUUAACAUGAACUUGGUACAAAUAUUUACAAUUUUCGUGUGCAUGAAAAUGAAGCUGAUUAAGCUAGUACUUCUUUACUGAUUAAGUUGUAGCUUUGUUGACUUCGAUAAUUAAGUUUCGUUCCAUGGUUCUCUGUAAAUAUACAUAUCUUUGCCAUGAAAAAGUAAGGUCUUUUAAUUUUGUUUAUCAUGAAUGCAGAUCGAUCGAGUUAUUGUAGUUCCAUAUUUGAUAAGGGUCGUCUUCCUUUGUUACUUUCUUAAUGAAGUUUUUGACGUUUUACAUUAUAUCUUUUCAAUCUUUCUACUGAUGGCAGAGGGGUUCUACGCGACGAACAACCAGUUCCAGAAAGAGGGUCCAAAGGGUUUCGUCCAAGUGAAGGUUCUGGAGGACGACAAGCUCUAUGUGCGUGUGGACUUGCCCGGUGUUCCAGACGACGCCGUUCACGUCAGAGUUGACGCCGUCAGACAAAAGGUUGUGUUUUUCUCCGGCGAGACUGUCGUCAACCAGAAGGAAGGCGUGCGUGAGUACUCCGGAACAGCCGGUCUGGGCUGUGACUGCUGCGAGAUCACAGGCGUGGCCGAUGUCAAAAUGAAAGACGGGGUUUUAAGGAUGAUUCUCUCGAGGGUGAGGGUGAACAAGGAUCAACAGGACAACACGUGUACUCUCACUGUGCCUCCUUUCACAGGUUCGAUAUCCCAUUUCCUCUCUAAAGUCACCAUCUUUUCUACAAUCAUAUAUCAACACACAAUCUAAUUUUCAAACGACAGGCAAAUCCGGGAUACGUUUGGAGGAUCAUCCGUAUGUGGUGAAAGGUCGCAAGGAAGCACUUUUUUGGGAUCCAACAGUAGUGCAAGGAGGGUUUUACUUUGCAGUAGACGUGCCAGGUGCUUGUGGGGAUGAUGUAGAAGUUUCUGCUAAUGAGAACGUAAUCAGAUUCAAAGCUGAGAUCAAAGACGUUGGUCAUGAGCAUGAUGAGAGCGGUCGAACCUACCUGGGAAGCAUGAAAAGUCCUUUUUGUUCCCCUGAGCUACCUUUGAAUACCACCCACACCAUCGGUUGGGAUGUUGAAUUUGGUGUUCUCAAGGUUGUUGUUCUACCUCCUGGAAUCACAACACCAUCAACGCCUAAGGGAACCCCUAUCGAAUAAUCCAAUCUCUUUCUCUCCUUCUCUUUUAGUACUCUCUACUGUUUUUUACAUUUUGGGACAAGUUACAGUGACUAGUUUUUCUCUGUUUACGCUGAGACAAUGGUGUGUGAAAAGAGAGAGAGAGAGACUCGCUAUGCUUUUGCGUUUGCUAUGGAAUCAAGUAAUUCAUGUCAUUACUUUUCACAAGAAUCUUUAACCCUUUUUUCCCUAUGCUGGAUCCAUCUAAUAACCUGAUUGGUGAUGAUUGAUUGUUUAAAACCACUAAAGCUGAUCAUAUUGACAAUUCUUUUUACUCUAUGGGAUGUCUAAUGUUUAUAGAUCAUGGGACAUUUUAUAUGAUAUGUCACUCAACCAGGGCACUCAACAGUGCUAGCUAAAUCCCCCAAUUGAAUCGAAAUGGUCAUAAAGGUGUCGAGUGUUGGUUGUGUAAACUAUAGAAAUGAUGCUAAAGUUUAUAGUCCCAACUCUGAUGGCGUCUGUUGUAGUUGUAUCAUAGUAUUAAGAUAAGGAAAUUACAAUAUUGACCUAAUUGGAAACGACGCCGUUGAAGGGAUUGUUUCGGUAGUGCGUGCUUUCUCGUCUUCUCGAUUGAGAUUUUUGUUGGAUCCCCAAAGAAGAAACCUGAAUAGAGAGCGAAAAUGGCUGGAAGAUUGAGUGGUGUGGCCUCACGAAUCAUGGGCGGAAACGGCGUCGUUGCCAGAUCCGUCGGCUCUUCUCUCCGUCAACGCGCCGGAAUGGGUCUCCCCGUCGGCAAACACAUCGUCCCCAAUAAGCCGGUGAGAGUCAAAUCCCUUCUUCUUCUCAAUUUCUUUCGAUUUUGGAAACUGUAUUUGAUUUUCAAAACCCCUAAUUGCGACUCAGCUUUCGGUUAACGACGAGCUGAUGUGGGACAACGGGACUGCGUUCCCAGAACCUUGCAUAGAUCGGAUUGCUGAUACCGUCGGAAAGGUAUUGGUUUCCAUUUCUAUAUAUCUGUCCUUGAUUGUAUUUUGUUUACCUGAUUGAGAUUCUUUGGGGAUGACUAUGAGCAGUAUGAAGCAUUGGCAUGGUUGAGUGGCGGUCUAGGGUUCUUCGCGACUCUUGGUCUGCUCGCUGUUUUGAACGACAAAGCUUCCAAAGUUCCAUUCGUACGUCAAAAAAGCUUUCAACUUGGCUCUUAAUUCUAACGCACAAGCUUUGUCCUGAGUGUCAUUUAGUCGUUGCUUGUGCUGCAAUAUCUAUAUCUCUAUGCAAGUUUUUCUACUCAAAGCUCGUUAUCGUUUUCACUACACCUAAAUAUGAGAUACAUACUUGUCAUAGUGCUUAGACAAUGUGUUUGCCGCAUAACUGAAUGAUCGCACAUCUCAAUCUUUGUUUCUUCAUUUGUUGAAUGCCCACAAUAUUUCGCUUUCAUUUUUAGCAUUUUGCCUGUUUAUGAACAUAUAAACCAUUCUUGCUGUUUGCUUUUGCAUCUCACCAGUUUACAGGAAGAGACCUUAUAACCCACAUUGUUUUCAUCAUCCUGUCUUAAUUGAUUGAUUGAGAGUUGAGACCAUACAUACUAGUUAGGAAAACUUGAAAGAAACAUCCACCAUGUUUUUUUGGAACUCAGUAAAUGUUAAGGUCAUAAGCAUGUAAGAGAAACAUGAAGCCUCAUAGAGGUGGUUGUAUCAGACUAUCUAUCAGCAGAUUAAAUGUAUAGGCUUGUUCUUUUUGUGUCCACUGGCCUAGAAUCAUAGACUUUGUACCAAAAGGCUAUAUUAUGAUGAGUGUUGUUUUCAAGGAUUUUGAGUAAAAGGUUUAGGGCUAAGAAGUUGCUCUAUGUCUUCUUGUCUAUACGUGAGAUGAACUGGUGCCCUUCUUUUAAUCUUGAAGUUCUUCUGUGGCAUUUCAUAUCUCUGCUUUUGUGUAUCUUUCUGACCUUAGUGUAACUUGUUUUCCCAUUUCAUGAUCAUCUCUUAUUGUGUUGCUGCAGACACCGAGAGUGUAUCCUUAUGACAACCUGAGAGUUGAGCUUGGAGGAGAGCCAUAGAGACCUAUCAAGUGAUCGACUUAUCAAACUAGUGGAGCGUGUUUUUCUUCACUGCCUUGUUCUUACAAAAUGUUUGUUAUUUCCUGCUUACAACGUGAAGUCAAAAUAAUAAAAGAACUUUGUUUUCAUUAUAUGCGUUGUCUCUGUAAUUAACAGUGACCAAUGAGAGAUUCAUAAGAGAAGACUUCUGGUUCAGCAGAUCUUGAAUUGUGUUUUGUAAUCUUUUGAAAGAAAAAAAAGAAUCUCCCCGCAAUUGAUAUUUGAUAGUUAGCGCCAUGUGUCGAACUAAAUUUGAGCCUCGUUAAAGGCUACUAGAAAAAGAAAGAAAGAAAAAAAAACGAGUUAGCCUAAUGUGGCAUGUGAAUGGGACAUUGAGAGAGAGAGAGAAGCUUGAACUUGUUUGUUUCCGUCUUUGGGUUUUGCCUAAGUUUAGAAAUCAAAAGCUUUGGUUCUUCACCAUUACGUAUUCGGUAUUCUUUUCCUAUUUUUGUAUAGUUUCAUAUCUUAUACGCAUUUAUUUAUGCAUCCUCUUCGUUUUCUCUCAUUAUUUAUCUUAUCAAAAUUUAUCUCUCACCACAAGUAGGAGGGUUAGGAAAGAAAUUUGUUGAAAAGAUAUGGUGUGACGACGGUCUUAAACAUUUCUUGUACCAAAGUAAAAGUUAAACACUUCAAGAAACUAAUUAAAAACAAAAUCGAAAUUUGAUUAGUGUGGGAUAUGAUGAAUCGGAUUUGACUUGUAGAAAAUAUAUACAUCCAACUAAAGUUUGGAGACCACACACACAUAUAUAUAGACCUCAAAACAAUUGAAAUGGUCGAAUAAAGACAGCCACAUCACAUGAGUCAUGAUGAAUGAGAUGUAUAUGAUGAUAUUAUUUCAAUCUGAUUCAUGAUCAAAUCAUCAAUGUGAUCUGCCAACGUGUCAACCCUACUGGCUCUUAUUCAACCUGAUUGUUUUGGUUGGACCCCUUCCUUCUUCAAAACAAGAGAUUAUUAUCCCAUUGGUACCACACCUCUCUCUUUCUCUCAUUGUGUUGUUGUUAUAUGUAAUAUAUCAUCUUUAGUUUCAAACUAUAUUUUAAGGGAAUAUAUAGCACUUCAUAGUCUUCAUUUUUGUUUGCAAACUGGAUAUAGCAAAACUCAUCGUACGUACAUAUUAUACAUGCAUGUGUGUGUACGAGGCUGUGAGCUUAUCGAUUCAUAGACCAAAUUUAGUGCAUAUUAUAUGUAUGAAAAGAUUUGACCACCAUACAAUAACAUAUAUGUUCAAUUCUUGAAAAUUUCUUUCUUCAUAGGUCUUUUCAAGAUAUAUAAAUGAUAAAGUACGAUAAUAUAUAUAUAAGAGUUGUUCCAAAAUUACAUAUUAUUGGAGAGAAAGGACAAAAAAGAAGAGGAAGGUGUGAACCAGGGAAGUUGGGCUCUGGAGGAGUACCAAAGGCUGCACAACGAACGUGUCUCACUCUCUCUCUCUCUAUACUCUUUGCCAACUGUUUGGCUUCUAUUUUUUUUUUCAUUUUCUCCUCAUUCAUUUCUAUCUUUUUCAACAUUUUUAUUUUAUUUUGAAUAUAUAUUCAACAUUUUCUUAGCCUCUUACUUAUUCUUAACCACAAAAAAAAAAAACAUUUACGAAUAAUAAUAUAAAUGGUAUGCACUUCUAUAAAUUUAAGGUAUGUAGCUUGCUAGUAUACCAUUUUUCAAGUUUUCAAAUUGUUAAUCAGUUACUUUUUAUGUUUCGAAACCACACCAUUUAACGAUUUUGAAAAUUGAUUCCAUUUCAAUUUUAUCAAAAACAUAAGCACAUCUAUAAAUUUCAGGUAUGUAGCUUGCUAGUAUCUUUUUCAAGUUUUCAAAUUGUUAAUCUGUUAUUUUUUUUUUAAUAUUUCAAAAUUAUACCAUUUUACGAUUUUUGAGAAAUGAUUCCGUUACAAUCAUAUAAGAAUUAUAAUUAGAAAAAAAGCAAAAUAUUACUAUAAAGAAACAUAUUUUAUAUAAUAAUAGUAUUAUAUAUAUAAAUAAGAACAAAAUACCAUCAUUUUGGUUUUUUCCCCAAAAAUACCAUUAAUAUCAAAUUAUUAAGCUUCAAAAGAAAAGAUAUUAUUAAAAUAAUUAGAUUAUUCUACUAUUCAUAUAACAUAUUACAUAUUAAUCAAAGCUAUAGAUCGUAGAUAAAACGAAACUAGUGAACUCAAAUCAUAAAUGGAGAAGCCAAGUUUAUCCAUAACUCUUGAAAGUACAUACCUAUAUAUUUAAUCCCAUAUAGUACUUGGUUUAUAGGACUGUAUUAAAUUAGUUUAGCAGAUAGACUGUUAUGACUUAUGAUUACUUGUCAUCUUAAUCUCUAGUGACUUUGGGGUCAUUCACAUUUCCAAGAGUAUAACUUGUCAUCUUGAUCUCUAGCCAUCACAGCUUCGCCACUUGUAACUUGUAAUUUGUCACACCCCAUCAUUUUCAUGGGUCAUUUUUAAAAUUUAUAUAUUCAAACAUUAAAAUAAAAUAAAAAAACAAUAUCUUUCUUAGACAAACUGAAAAGUCAUCAAUCAUAUUCACUAUAGAAUCAAUGACCUUUUUUUAUGUUUACCCAUUAUCCAAUAAUUCCAUUUUGUCUUCAAUAAUACAUUUGUAGUUGUCUCUUAAACUAAUUUGACCCCAAUGGAAUAAAAUUGUGAACCAGCAAAUAUAUGUGAUUCACGUUGGAUAACAUUUUAGUUGGUUGAAAGAAAACACAAUUAAAAUUUUCAAACUGACAAAAAAAAAAAUCAUUUUAAAGGGGAAUAAAUAGAAUUCAACUAAUUAAGAAUGUCUUUACAUACUAAUCAUGUGUCACUCACUCUCAUAAACCGAAUAUUUUGUUAUAUGACCACACAAAUUACAUCUAUAUUAUACUUAAAUAUUUGCCAAACACAUAAUAAUAAUAAAAUAAAUACAGUUAUAAAAAGGCUCCUCUAGCACCUUUCAAUGAAGUUGUAGUUUACAUUUCUCAAACUCUUUUUGUUUUUUUUGGUCCUUCCAUUAGAAAACGGAAUAAAACAGAAUGAACGGUGGCGAUGUCGCCGUCGCCGGAUCCGACGAUCUGAAAUCCCCGCUCUUACCUGUCGUCCGACAUGAGGAGGAACCAUUCCAACGUCAAACGGUGGGGCAACAGCUUCGGACAAUAUUCACACCUAAAAACUGUUACAUAGCUCUCGGUCCUCUUCUUUGCGCCGUCGUGUGUCUAUGCGUACGCCUCGGGGGAGAUGACACGACGACGGCUAAGAACAUGCUCGGCGUUCUUGCUUGGAUGUUCGCGUGGUGGCUGACGGAGGCCGUUCCCAUGCCUAUCACCUCCAUGACGCCGCUCUUCCUCUUCCCUCUCUUUGGAAUCUCGUCGGCCGAUGUGGUGGCGGACUCUUACAUGGAUGACGUCAUCUCCCUUGUCCUCGGCAGCUUCAUCCUCGCUCUCGCCGUCGAACACUACAACAUCCAUCGCCGACUCGCCCUUAACGUUAGUCUUCUUCUUCUUCUUUUUUUCACAUAACUCAAUUCAUUUAAUUAUUAUUAUUAAUCAUUCAUUACAAAACUAUGAUAAGCUAAAACUAGGUAGAGUGUUUCAAUUGAAUCGUAUCCCCACUUCCUCUUAAAUUAUUCAUUUAGUGGUCCAUGCAUAUACGUGGGGAUGCCAUAUUAUGUUUUCCCUUUGUCUUUUUUUUUUUUUAGUUCUUCACACAAUUUUUUUCUUUCAAUCAUCAUUUGCAUCUACAUAAACUAUUGUUGUUACAUAAAGUUCAAAGUCUAAUAAAUUGAUCAUAUAAAUAUAUUAAGAGUCCUCUCUUUUCAAUGUUGAAAAUUACCUAAGCCAGUUUCUUUAUUUGAUUGAUCAUAAACAUACUUUGUGUUAUAUAGAUGAGGCGUCAUAUCAUGUGGGUUGUGGCCCUUAGGCCAAUCCAUUGUAUCAUUUAUAAGACACGUAAACACUCUAUGAUUUAAGUUGUUCGGUCUCCAAUCAUUAAGCUGAUCACAAGUCACAACUAUAAUUAUUAUUUAUUUAACAUUAUUUGAAACUAUGAUCUUUUAACAGUAGGAGAUAUAGUAAUUAUGUGGAGCUCCCAACGUAUCUAAUUAUGAUAAGGUACUAACAUAUUUCUUAUGGAUAAUCUAAUUUUUGAACUAGAUAACGUUGGUGUUCUGCGUGGAGCCGCUAAACGCGCCGCUGCUUCUGCUUGGCAUAUGCGCUACAACAGCGUUCGUGAGUAUGUGGAUGCACAACGUAGCGGCUGCAGUCAUGAUGAUGCCAGUCGCUACGGGGAUACUUCAGAGGUUGCCCUCUUCGUCGUCUUCGUCGGAAGUUGUGCCUCCUGCAGUGGGGAAGUUUUGUAGGGCGGUGGUGCUUGGUGUGAUAUACUCAGCACCAAUAGGUGGAAUGAGCACACUCACUGGAACAGGUGUGAAUCUGAUACUUGUGGGAAUGUGGAAAAGUUAUUUCCCGGAGGCUGAUCCAAUCAGUUUCAGCCAGUGGUUCUUUUUUGGUUUCCCAUUGGCUUUGUGCUUAUUCGUGGUGCUUUGGGGUAUUCUAUGUGUUCUGUAUUGUCCCAGAGGAGCAGGAAAAGCUCUCUCUCCUUAUCUCCACAAAUCUCAUCUCAAGAGAGAGCUUGAGAUGUUAGGACCAAUGAAUUUCGCUGAGAAGAUGGUCUUAACCGUGUUUGGUGGGUUGGUUGUGUUGUGGAUGACAAGAAAUAUAACAGAUGACAUCCCCGGCUGGGGUGUGAUCUUCGACGGCCGGGCAGGGGAUGGAACGGUGAGUGUGAUGAUGGCGACAUUGCUGUUUAUAAUCCCAAGCAAGAUUAAGAAAGGAGAGAAGCUGAUGGACUGGGGCAAAUGCAAGAAACUUCCAUGGAACAUAGUCUUGCUAUUGGGAGCUGGAUUCGCUAUAGCCGAUGGAGUGCGCACAAGUGGCUUAGCCGAAGUCUUAUCAAAAGGACUGGUCUUUCUCGAAACAGCUCCUUAUUGGGCAAUUGCUCCAACCGUUUGCCUCAUAGCUGCUAGCAUCACAGAGUUCACCUCAAACAACGCAACAACUACAUUGUUGGUCCCGUUGCUGAUAGAGAUAGCAAAGACAAUGGGAAUACACCCUCUGCUACUGAUGGUUCCAGGUGCCAUAGGGGCUCAGUUCGCUUUCUUGCUCCCAACGGGAACACCCUCAAACGUCGUUGGGUUCACAACGGGGCAUAUCGAGAUCAAAGACAUGAUCAAAACAGGAUUUCCUCUCAAGAUCGCCGGAACAAUCUUUCUCUCCAUCUUGAUGCCCACUCUUGGUAUAGCUAUUAAUCUGACUCAAUAACUAAAACAUUACUCUAAUUAUAAUUUAUUUAGAAUCAAGUUUGUUAAUAUAUACUAUUAUUACAUGACGACAUGCAGGGGCAUACGUUUUUGCAUCAAAGGGAGGAGUUUAGUUUGACGAGGGAAACACAGCACACUAUUGGAUUAUCAUACCGCGCAUAAGUUUUUGAAUUGCCUUGUAAGCUAUAUAUAUGUGUAGAUAAUUAUUAUUAUUAUGGUCAAUACAUGUAUGAUGGAACUGGGAAAUAUAUAUAUGUGGUCAAAAAUUCACAAAAAAAUGGGACCGUUUUUGUAACCCACUCGAUGAUAGUUUUCGGCAAACAUUGCUUUCUUUUGUGCUUUCAAUGUACCCUCGAUGAUAGUUUUCGGCAAAGAUUGCUUUCUUUUGUCAAAGGUUACAUUUUCGCCACAUCGGCAGAGAUAAAGAAUGUCCCCGUUGUGGGGCAGAGGAAGAAACGAUCAACCAUUUAUUUUUUGAAUGCCCCCCGGCUCGACAAGUGUGGGCCCUUUCACCUAUUCCAACAGACCCGUCGGUGUUCCCCCUUUCUUCUUUGUAUGGUAAUCUUGAUUUCCUAUUCUGGAGAGGAAAAGAAGGUGGUGUCAUCGAGGAGGAUUUAAGCGUUUUUCCAUGGUAUAUAUGGUAUAUUUGGAAAGCGCGGAAUAAACUGAUCUUCGAGAAUGUUUCGGAGCUACCCCAAGAUACGAAGGAUAAAGCAAUUCAAGAGGAAACACUUUGGAGAAAAGCUAAUACAUUGGUAGCCUUACCUAGUGUUCGGACACUUAGGGAUGACGAAUGGAUUCCACCAACGAACGUGUUGGUGUGUUAUAUUGAUGGAUCUUGGCACGAGAAGGAUAGGAGGAGUGGUCAUGGUUGGAUAGCUUCCAUUGGUAAUAGGACUUUCCAACUAGGUUUGCGUUACUCCCCACGAAGUCUUUCGCCCAUCCAUGCAGAAUUAGAUACUCUCCUUUGGGCAAUGAAAUGUCUGAGCAAUCUAUUGGUGGUUCAAGUUACAAUUGCAACGGAUUACUUGGAUUUGGUUAGAAUGAUGGCAAACGAUGAGGAUUGGCCGGCCUUUGCUUCAGAGAUUCGAGACUACAAGGAACUUAGAGACUCCUUUUUGGAGUUCAAUUUAAAGCAUAUUUCUAGACUUAAAAAUAUCAGUGCCGAUAAACUUGCGAAAUGUGCAAGAAUACGCGGUUACUGCUUUUCUCAUGUAGGUUUGUCGGUACAUGUUUGGCUCUCUCACAAAGAGAAUCAAUUCCGAUAAACUAGUGUAUGGGGUUCGUCGGCAAAAAAAAAAAAAAAAAAAUGUACCGUCGGUAAGUUUGGUCAUUUUUUUUUUGUUUUGUUUCUGUGUAGUACAUAUAAUAAAACGAAAAGGGUUAAAUUAGUAUAAAACGAUGAGUAUUAAUGUGUUUGUGUAUAAGUGUAACGUUCUCUUCUUCUUCUUGGCUGAUUCUUAAAAAUACUACACAAGUGGCACAAACCAGCGGUCCUACGUGUCCAUACCAUACCACUGUUUUUACAAACACAACAAACCAAAGGAAAAAAAAAAUCAUUAUUAUUUAUAAUGUUUUCCUUUUAUUGUUUGUCCUCUACACUCAUUUAUCUUCUUUAUUUGUCCUUUGCUAUAUAGUUGUCUAUAAAAUAAUUAAUGUGUUAGAAAACUAUAAAUAGUCAAAUGAGGAAAAUAUAAAAAACUAUAAAUAGUUAAAAUCCUUUUGUGUAUUUAGUUUUCGUAGGUAGAUGUUGGCCAGUGCAAAUUGCAAAAUUCAUAAAUGAAAUCCAAUUCCUUAUUAAGAGGAUAGACCUCAAUUAAUUUGUCUAUAUUAGGCUUAAACUAAAAUAUAUAUAUAUAUAUGUUUUAUACUAUAAUAGUACAGUUUCUUCAAAAAAAAAUUAAUGAGUUUUUGAUUAUUUUACCAAUAAAUUAUAAUAUUUUAAGAGGAUAGACCUCAAUUAAUUUGUCUAUAUUAGGCUUAAAUUUAAAAAGAAAAAAUAUAUAUUUUAUACUAUAACAGUACAGUUUCUUCAAAAAUAAUAAUGAGUUUUUGAUUAUUUUACCAAUAAAUCAUAAUAUAUUAAAUACAAAAGUUUCAUAAAAUAAUUUUGUUUGACUUCUUAUAUAUAGCCAUUUGUAAUUAACAUCAUAAAUAAACUAUCUACCAAAAAAAGCUAGAAAUCCAGGACACGUCAUGGCACGUGGCGGACCUCUCAAGUAUAUAUAUUGAAGUGCCCUGCCAAUACCAUAGAAUCAAGUUUAGAGGAAAACAAAAUCAAUAACAACGACACGGUUACAGAGCCCAAAGAAACAAAGAUGAUGAAUAAUAACUCUUCUAAGAUCAUCUUCCUUCUUCUCCUCUCUCUCGUCGUCGUCUACGCUUCUGCGGCAGCGCGUGUCGGUGGUUGGAGUCCCAUCAGCGACGUCAA
rnacentral:lncRNA from 1 species